AUAGCGUAUAUUAAAGUUGUUGCAGUUAAAAAGCUCGUAGUUGAAAUUGGGCGCGGCUGGCCGGUCCGCCUCACGGCGUGCACUGGUCUCGGCCGUGCUUUCCUCUUGGGCUGCCCGAGAGCGCUUCAUUGUGCGCUCGGGUCGGACCAGGACUUUUACUUUGAAAAAAUUAGAGUGUUCAAAGCAGGCAUUUGCUCGAAUACAUCAGCAUGGAAUAAUAGAAUAGGACGUGUGGUUCUAUUUUGUUGGUUUCUAGGACCACCGUAAUGAUUAAUAGGGACAGUCGGGGGCAUCAGUAUUCAAUUGUCAGAGGUGAAAUUCUUGGAUUUAUUGAAGACUAACUACUG
rnacentral:rRNA from 1 species